CCUACGGGAGGCAGCAGUGGGGAAUAUUGGACAAUGGGCGAAAGCCUGAUCCAGCCAUGCCGCGUGUGUGAAGAAGGCCUUCGGGUUGUAAAGCACUUUCAGUGGGGAAGAAAGCCUUGGGGCUAAUACCCUCGAGGAAGGACAUCACCCACAGAAGAAGCACCGGCUAACUCCGUGCCAGCAGCCGCGGUAAUACGGAGGGUGCGAGCGUUAAUCGGAAUUACUGGGCGUAAAGCGCGCGUAGGCGGUCUGAUAAGCCGGUUGUGAAAGCCCCGGGCUCAACCUGGGAACGGCAUCCGGAACUGUCAGGCUAGAGUGCAGGAGAGGAAGGUAGAAUUCCCGGUGUAGCGGUGAAAUGCGUAGAGAUCGGGAGGAAUACCAGUGGCGAAGGCGGCCUUCUGGACUGACAUUGACGCUGAGGUGCGAAAGCGUGGGUAGCAAACAGGAUUAGAUACCCGGGUAGUC
rnacentral:rRNA from 1 species